UUUUAUGGAUGAGUAAUGAAAGUAAUUUCUUGAGAUGGAAACUACUCCUGAUAAAGAUGCUGUGAA
rnacentral:pre_miRNA from 1 species